rnacentral:rRNA from 1 species
UGGUGGAGUGAUUUGUCUGGUUAAUUCCGAUAACGAACGAGACUCUGGCCUACUAACUAGUGGCUGGAUCGGCUUCGGCCUGUCCAGUGUCACACUUCUUAGAGGGACAAGCAGUGUUCAGCUGCAUGAAAAGAGCAAUAACA